rnacentral:rRNA from 1 species
CCACGGACCCGGACCCC